CAAUGUUAUUAAGACAAGCCACUGUGCCACUGUCAAUAUUAUGAAAAUAAGUCUUUGUGUGGACGAUGGCUACAUAUAGGUAAGUCUUCUUUUUCUCUUUCCCCCUCUCCCUUCCCUGUGUUUAUGUGUUUAAUUCGGUUGUUUUUUUCUUCUUUUUUAGAUAUCUCUAUACAUUAACAUGAUCACAUUAAUUAGCGAUAACUUCAGUCAACAAAAGUACUCAAAAUAGAACAAUUUUGAUAUGUUGCUACGUCUUAUUACAAUCUAGUCAUGUCACGGAAAAAAGCUCGAACUGUAUGGCUUAUGAAAUCCAUGUUACAUUAUACAUAAUUGCAUCCACUAAUACUGUUGCAUUAAUAUUUACAGAUAUCAGACGUAUACAAUAAUAUGCCUUCCAUUUGCUUGCGCCUCACAAUAUUGGUGGAUAAAUUAUGUUGAAUAAUAUCAUCUUAUGUCAAUGAAUAUUCGAAAAUGAAACAAUUCAAUUCAGCUACCAAUUACUUGACCAUAAACUGACACGACCACUUCAACGAAAUCGCACGUACAAAGUAAAGUUAACACGUCUACAGUUGUGUCAUCGUUAUGUAUUCUGAAAAUUCUACGUGGAAGACAUGAAAAGUAAGAAGUAAGAAAGAUGCACAGUACUUGAAGAUACGACUUGGAUAUUUGUUGUACGUUACAUUGCACCUGGCUCUGACACCAGAACAUUUUAAAGCGAAAAGCUACUCAACGAAGUCGCACGUACCAGUACGAAGAAAAGGUAACGCGGCAAGGAAGACUUGAUAGUUAAGAAAGAUGCACAGUACUUAAAGCAGUACUUUGCUGUACGGUACAUUGCACCUGUUCGAAUACUCAUAAUCAAGCCAACAACGUGCGUGAGUACAGUACCUGUUAUACGAACAAUGGACUUGAUAUGCAUCAUAAUCAACAUCUUCAAACUUACACUGGGUAGAACAUAUACUGUAAUACGCAAUAAGACGUGUUCUAUUGUCAUAGAAAAGUGACUGGUAUUUUAGUUUUCACUAGUUGAAUGUUCGUAAUUUAUAAUUCA